rnacentral:rRNA from 1 species
GAUGAACGCUGGCGGCGUGCCUAAUACAUGCAAGUCGAGCGAACAGACGAGGAGCUUGCUCCUCUGACGUUAGCGGCGGACGGGUGAGUAACACGUGGAUAACCUACCUAUAAGACUGGGAUAACUUCGGGAAACCGGAGCUAAUACCGGAUAAUAUAUUGAACGGCAUGGUUCAAUAGUGAAUGACGGUUUUGCUGUCACUUAUAGAUGGAUCCGCGCCGGAUUAGCUAGUUGGUAAGGUAACGGCUUACCAAGGCGACGAUGCGUAGCCGACCUGAGAGGGUGAUCGGCCACACUGGAACUGAGACACGGUCCAGCCUCCUACGGGAGGCAGCAGUAGGGAAUCUUCCGCAAUGGGCGAAAGCUUGACGGAGCAACGCCGCGUGAGUGAUGAAGGUCUUCGGAUCGUAAAACUCUGUUAUUAGGGAAGAACAAAUGUGUAAGUAACUAUGCACGUCUUGACGGUACCUAAUCAGAAAGCCCCGGCUAACUACGUG